GACGAACCGAGCGAACGUUGUUCGGAAUCACUGGGCUUAAAGGGUGCGUAGGCGGUCCGUUAAGUCAGUUGUGAAAUCCCCGGGCUCAACCCGGGAACUGCUUCUGAUACUGGCGGACUUGAGGCCUGUAGGGGUUACUAGAACAGACGGUGGAGCGGUGAAAUGCGUAGAUAUCGUGUGGAAUGCCUGUGGUGAAGACGGGUAACUGGGCAGGUUCUGACACUGAGGCACGAAAGCGUGGGGAGCGAACGGG
rnacentral:rRNA from 1 species